UGAAACUCAAAGGAAUUGACGGGGGCCCGCACAAGCGGAGGAACAUGUGGUUUAAUUCGAUGAUACGCGAGGAACCUUACCUGGACUUAAAUGUAGAUUGACAGGACUAGAGAUAGUUUUUUCUUCGGACAAUUUACAAGGUGCUGCAUGGUUGUCGUCAGCUCGUGCCGUGAGGUGUCGGGUUAAGUCCCAUAACGAGCGCAACCCCUAUCUUUAGUUACCAGCACGUAAUGGUGGGGACUCUAAAGAGACUGCCUGGGUAACCAGAGAGGAAGGUGGGGAUGACGUCAAAUCAGCACGGCCCUUACGUCCAGGGCUACACACGUGUUACAAUGGUCGGUACAAAGGGCAGCUACCUAGCGAUAGGAUGCUAAUCUCUAAAACCGGUCUCAGUUCGGAUCGGAGUCUGCAACUCGACUCCGUGAAGCUGGAUUCGCUAGUAAUCGCAUAUCAGCCAUGAUGCGGUGAAUACGUUCCCGGGCCUUGUACACACCGCCCGUCAAACCAUGGAAGUUGGGGGUGCCUGAAGUCUGUUAC
rnacentral:rRNA from 1 species